rnacentral:rRNA from 1 species
AUACGGAGGGUCCAAGCGUUAUCCGGAAUCAUUGGGUUUAAAGGGUUCGUAGGCGGGUCAAUAAGUCAGAGGUGAAAUCUUGCAGCUUAACUGUAAAAUUGCCUUUGAAACUGUUGACCUUGAAUUACUGUGAAGUGGUUAGAAUAUGUAGUGUAGCGGUGAAAUGCUUAGAGAUUACAUAGAAUACCGAUUGCGAAGGCAGAUCACUAACAGUAUAUUGACGCUGAUGAACGAAAACGUGGGUAGCGAACGGGAUUAGAAACCCUAGUAGUCC